CUUAUCAAGAGUGACGGAGGGAACAGGCCCUGUGAUGUCCGGCAACCUGCUUUGCGCAAGGUGCCAAAUCCUGCGGGUAAGCCGAAAGAUGAGG
rnacentral:ncRNA from 1 species